rnacentral:snoRNA from 1 species
AAUUCGUGGUGCAGGCAUUUUUGAAUCAAUAUUUUGAAAUGUUCCCAUUCCUCAUAGAAAAUUUCUUCCUCAAUCUGUCUAAGACAUCAAUAUCUCGUCUAAGCU